rnacentral:tRNA from 1 species
GCACUCAUAGCUCAGUGGCAGAGCGCGCGUUUAGUAAGCUCGAGGUCGGGAGUUCGAACCUCCCUGAGUGCA